rnacentral:rRNA from 1 species
UACACUCCUACGGGAGGCAGCAGUGGGGAAUUUUGGACAAUGGGCGAAAGCCUGAUCCAGCCAUGCCGCGUGCAGGAUGAAGGCCUUCGGGUUGUAAACUGCUUUUGUACGGAACGAAACGGCCUUUUCUAAUAAAGAGGGCUAAUGACGGUACCGUAAGAAUAAGCACCGGCUAACUACGUGCCAGCAGCCGCGGUAAUACGUAGGGUGCAAGCGUUAAUCGGAAUUACUGGGCGUAAAGCGUGCGCAGGCGGUUAAGUAAGACAGUUGUGAAAUCCCCGGGCUCAACCUGGGAACUGCAUCUGUGACUGCAUAGCUAGAGUACGGUAGAGGGGGAUGGAAUUCCGCGUGUAGCAGUGAAAUGCGUAGAUAUGCGGAGGAACACCGAUGGCGAAGGCAAUCCCCUGGACCUGUACUGACGCUCAUGCACGAAAGCGUGGGGAGCAAACAGGAUUAGAUACCCCGUGUAGUCCCAUG